rnacentral:lncRNA from 1 species
CUACCCUGGACCCCCCAAUAGUGGAGGGCAGUAUGGUAGUGGGCUACCCCCUGGUGGUGGUUAUGGGGGUCCUGCCCCUGGAGGGCCUUAUGGACCACCAGCUGGUGGAGGGCCCUAUGGACACCCCAAUCCUGGGAUGUUCCCCUCUGGAACUCCAGGAGGACCAUAUGGCGGUGCAGCUCCCGGGGGCCCCUAUGGUCAGCCACCUCCAAGUUCCUACGGUGCCCAGCAGCCUGGGCUUUAUGGACAGGGGAUACAUGCUGAAGGAGCAGCUCCUGUUUGGGAUAUGUUAUCUUUGUGGCAGAGAGAAGGAGCAGGAGAGCUAGCAAGAAUGCACAAUGCCUCUUAAAGCUUCUCUGAAGUGGCGCCCCUCCCAAUGUGGAUCCUGAGGCCUACUCCUG